rnacentral:rRNA from 1 species
CCUACGGGAGGCAGCAGUGAGGAAUAUUGGUCAAUGGACGGAAGUCUGAACCAGCCAUGCCGCGUGCAGGAAGACGGCUCUAUGAGUUGUAAACUGCUUUUGUACAAGGGUAAACCUGAAUACGUGUAUUCAGCUGAAAGUACUGUACGAAUAAGGAUCGGCUAACUCCGUGCCAGCAGCCGCGGUAUUACGGAGGAUCCAAGCGUUAUCCGGAUUUAUUGGGUUUAAAGGGUGCGUAGGCGGAUGUAUAAGUUAGAGGUGAAAUGUCCGGGCUUAACUCGGGAACUGCCCCUAAUACUGUUGGUCUAGAGAGUAGAUGCGGUAGGCGGAAUGUAUGGUGUAGCGGUGAAAUGCUUAGAGAUCAUACAGAACACCGAUUGCGAAGGCAGCUUACCAAUCUAUAUCUGACGUUGAGGCACGAAAGCGUGGGGAGCAAACAGGAUUAGAUACCCUGGUAGUC